AGACCGGGUGGCUCUGCUUAAAUAACGCAUCUACAGUUCUGCAGUAUCUUUUUGAACUAUAGCAAUUAAAUGGAAAAUAGAAAAAUCAGCUCAGCAUCCUGUUUGGAUGUAAUUAAAGCGUAUUCCAGCACUGUGAGACAGGGACAUCA